GCUGGGCACGGUGGUGCCUGCCUGUAAUUCCAGGAACUUGGGAGGCUGAGGCAAGAGGAUGGCAAGUUUGAGGCCAGCCUCAGCAAAUUCGUGAGGCCCUUCUGGAUCCGCUUCAGUGCCAUCCUCUCCACUGCUUGGGACCAGGCGGCCCGGCGGGGCUGCCUGAGGCGGCCCGCUGCCGGCUCGCCAGCCCCUACUUCUU
rnacentral:sRNA from 1 species